rnacentral:rRNA from 1 species
GGAGGAAUAUGGUCAAUGGUCGGCAGACUGAACCAGCCAAGUCGCGUGAGGGAAGACGGCCCUACGGGUUGUAAACCUCUUUUGUCGGAGAGUAAAGUACGCUACGUGUAGCGUAUUGCAAGUAUCCGAAGAAAAAGCAUCGGCUAACUCCGUGCCAGCAGCCGCGGUAAUACGGAGGAUGCGAGCGUUAUCCGGAUUUAUUGGGUUUAAAGGGUGCGUAGGCGGCACGCCAAGUCAGCGGUGAAAUUUCCGGGCUCAACCCGGAGUGUGCCGUUGAAACUGGUGAGCUAGAGUACACAAGAGGCAGGCGGAAUGCGUGGUGUAGCGGUGAAAUGCAUAGAUAUCACGCAGAACCCCGAUUGCGAAGGCAGCCUGCUAGGGUGAAACAGACGCUGAGGCACGAAAGCGUGGGUAUCGAACAGGAUUAGAUACCCUGGUAGUCCACGCAGUAAACGAUGAAUACUAACUGUUUGCGAUACAAUGUAAGCGGUACAACGAAAGCGUUAAGUAUUCCACCUGGGGAGUACGCCGGCAACGGUGAAACUCAAAGGAUUGACCGGGGGCCCGCACGAACGGAGGAACAUGUGGUUUAAUUCGAUGAUACGCGAGGAACCUUACCCGGGCUCAAACGCAGGGGGAAUAUAUAUGAAAGUAUAUAGCUAGUAAUAGUCACCUGCGAGGUGCUGCAUGGUGUCGUCAGC